CCUACGGGAGGCAGCAGUGGGGAAUAUUGGGCAAUGGAGGCAACUCUGACCCAGCAACGCCGCGUGAAGGAAGAAGGCCUUAGGGUUGUAAACUUAUGUUGUAAAGGAAGAAAAGAAUGACGGUACUUUACAAGAAAGCCCCGGCUAACUAUGUGCCAGCAGCCGCGGUAAGACAUAGGGGGCAAGCGUUAUCCGGAUUUAUUGGGUUUAAAGGGUGCGCAGGCGGAGGCACAAGUCAGCGGUAAAAUCGCGGGGCUCAACCCCGCUCCGCCGUUGAAACUGUGUCCCUUGAGUGCGCGAAGGGUAGGCGGAAUGCGUGGUGUAGCGGUGAAAUGCAUAGAUAUCACGCAGAACUCCGAUCGCGAAGGCAGCCUACCGGCGCGCAACUGACGCUCAUGCACGAAAGCGUGGGUAUCGAACAGGAUUAGAUACCCUUGUAGUC
rnacentral:rRNA from 1 species